rnacentral:rRNA from 1 species
UACGAAGGGGGCUAGCGUUGCUCGGAUUGACUGGGCGUAAAGGGCGCGUAGGCGGUUUGUACAGUCAGGUGUGAAAUUCCCGGGCUCAACCUGGGGGCUGCAUUUGAUACGUGUUGUCUAGAGUGAGGAAGAGGGUUGUGGAAUUCCCAGUGUAGAGGUGAAAUUCGUAGAUAUUGGGAAGAACACCGGUGGCGAAGGCGGCAACCUGGUCCUU